rfam:Macrostomum lignano uti_cns_0002036, whole genome shotgun sequence.
GUUGGAUACGGAGACUAUGUGCCGCGUAGCCUCAGCGGCAAACUUGUUGGCGCAAUUUGCGUAGUAGCCGGCGUCAUGACCAUAGCGCUGCCAGUGCCCGUGAUCGUCACCAAC